UGACUGCGUACCUUUUGUAUAAUGGGUCAGCGACUUAUAUUCUGUAGCAAGGUUAACCGAAUAGGGGAGCCGGAGGGAAACCGAGUCUUAAUUGGGCGUUAAGUUGCAGGGUAUAGACCCGAAACCCGGUGAUCUAGCCAUGGGCAGGUUGAAGGUUGGGUAACACUAACUGGAGGACCGAACCGACUAAUGUUGAAAAAUUAGCGGAUGACCUGUGGCUGGGGGUGAAAGGCCAAUCAAACCGGGAGAUAGCUGGUUCUCCCCGAAAGCUAUUUAGGUAGCGCCUCGUGAAUUCAUCUCCGGGGGUAGAGCACUGUUUCGGCUAGGGGGCCAUCCCGGCUUACCAACCCGAUGCAAACUGCGAAUACCGGAGAAUGUUAUCACGGGAGACACACGGCGGGUGCUAACGUCCGUCGUGAAGAGGGAAACAACCCAGACCGCCAGCUAAGGUCCCAAAGUCAUGGUUAAGUGGGAAACGAUGUGGGAAGGCCCAGACAGCCAGGAUGUUGGCUUAGAAGCAGCCAUCAUUUAAAGAAAGCGUAAUAGCUCACUGGUCGAGUCGGCCUGCGCGGAAGAUGUAACGGGGCUAAACCAUGCACCGAAGCUGCGGCAGCGACACUCAGGUGUUGUUGGGUAGGGGAGCGUUCUGUAAGCCUGCGAAGGUGGCCUGUGAGGGUUGCUGGAGGUAUCAGAAGUGCGAAUGCUGACAUAAGUAACGAUAAAGCGGGUGAAAAGCCCGCUCGCCGGAAGACCAAGGGUUCCUGUCCAACGUUAAUCGGGGCAGGGUGAGUCGACCCCUAAGGCGAGGCCGAAAGGCGUAGUCGAUGGGAAACGGGUUAAUAUUCCCGUACUUGGUGUUACUGCGAAGGGGGGACGGAGAAGGCUAUGUUGGCCGGGCGACGGUUGUCCCGGUUUAAGCGUGUAGGUGUGUGUUCCAGGUAAAUCCGGUUCACUUUAACACUGAGGCGUGACGACGAGGCACUACGGUGCUGAAGCAACAAAUGCCCUGCUUCCAGGAAAAGCCUCUAAGCAUCAGGUAACAUCAAAUCGUACCCCAAACCGACACAGGUGGUCAGGUAGAGAAUACCAAGGCGCUUGAGAGAACUCGGGUGAAGGAACUAGGCAAAAUGGUGCCGUAACUUCGGGAGAAGGCACGCUGACAUGUAGGUGAAGUGAUUUACUCAUGGAGCUGAAGUCAGUCGAAGAUACCAGCUGGCUGCAACUGUUUAUUAAAAACACAGCACUGUGCAAACACGAAAGUGGACGUAUACGGUGUGACGCCUGCCCGGUGCCGGAAGGUUAAUUGAUGGGGUCAGCGCAAGCGAAGCUCCUGAUCGAAGCCCCGGUAAACGGCGGCCGUAACUAUAACGGUCCUAAGGUAGCGAAAUUCCUUGUCGGGUAAGUUCCGACCUGCACGAAUGGCGUAAUGAUGGCCAGGCUGUCUCCACCCGAGACUCAGUGAAAUUGAACUCGCUGUGAAGAUGCAGUGUACCCGCGGCAAGACGGAAAGACCCCGUGAACCUUUACUAUAGCUUGACACUGAACAUUGAGCCUUGAUGUGUAGGAUAGGUGGGAGGCUUUGAAGUGUGGACGCCAGUCUGCAUGGAGCCGACCUUGAAAUACCACCCUUUAAUGUUUGAUGUUCUAACGUGGACCCGUGAUCCGGGUUGCGGACAGUGUCUGGUGGGUAGUUUGACUGGGGCGGUCUCCUCCUAAAGAGUAACGGAGGAGCACGAAGGUUGGCUAAUCCUGGUCGGACAUCAGGAGGUUAGUGCAAUGGCAUAAGCCAGCUUGACUGCGAGCGUGACGGCGCGAGCAGGUGCGAAAGCAGGUCAUAGUGAUCCGGUGGUUCUGAAUGGAAGGGCCAUCGCUCAACGGAUAAAAGGUACUCCGGGGAUAACAGGCUGAUACCGCCCAAGAGUUCAUAUCGACGGCGGUGUUUGGCACCUCGAUGUCGGCUCAUCACAUCCUGGGGCUGAAGUAGGUCCCAAGGGUAUGGCUGUUCGCCAUUUAAAGUGGUACGCGAGCUGGGUUUAGAACGUCGUGAGACAGUUCGGUCCCUAUCUGCCGUGGGCGCUGGAGAACUGAGGGGGGCUGCUCCUAGUACGAGAGGACCGGAGUGGACGCAUCACUGGUGUUCGGGUUGUCAUGCCAAUGGCACUGCCCGGUAGCUAAAUGCGGAAGAGAUAAGUGCUGAAAGCAUCUAAGCACGAAACUUGCCCCGAGAUGAGUUCU
rnacentral:rRNA from 2 species